CAGUAGCCGCGGUAAUACGUAGGUCCCGAGCGUUAUCCGGAUUUAUUGGGCGUAAAGCGAGCGCAGGCGGUUAGAUGAGUCUGAAGUUAAAGGCUGUGGCUUAACCAUAGUACGCUUUGGAAACUGUUUAACUUGAGUGCAGAAGGGGAGAGUGGAAUUCCAUGUGUAGCGGUGAAAUGCGUAGAUAUAUGGAGGAACACCGGUGGCGAAAGCGGCUCUCUGGCUUGUAACUGACGCUGAGGCUCGAAAGCGUGGGGAGCAAACAGGAUUAGAUACCCCGGUAGUCCCUGUCUCUUAUACA
rnacentral:rRNA from 1 species